GACAGCAGUCGCCGCGGGAAUACGGAGGGGGCUAGCGUUGUUCGGAAUUACUGGGCGUAAAGCGCACGUAGGCUGCUUGGUAAGUUAGAGGUGAAAGCCUGGAGCUCAACUCCAGAAUUGCCUUUAAGACUGCCGAGCUAGAACGUCGGAGAGGUGAGUGGAAUUCCGAGUGUAGAGGUGAAAUUCGUAGAUAUUCGGAAGAACACCAGUGGCGAAGGCGGCCCACUGGACGACUGUUGACGCUGAGGUGCGAAAGCGUGGGGAGCAAACAGGAUUAGAUACCCCAGUAGUCCCUGUCUCUUAUAC
rnacentral:rRNA from 1 species